rnacentral:rRNA from 1 species
UACGUAGGGUGCGAGCGUUAAUCGGAAUUACUGGGCGUAAAGCGUGCGCAGGCGGUUCGCCAAGUCAGGUGUGAAAUCCCCGGGCUUAACCUGGGAAUUGCGCUUGAAACUAGCGGGCUUGAGUGUGGGCAGAGGGGGGUGGAAUUCCACGGUGUAGCAGUGAAAUGCGUAGAGAUGUGGAGGAACACCGAUGGCGAAGGCAGCCCCCUGGGUCAACACUGACGCUCAUGCACGAAAGCGUGGGGAGCAAACAGG